UGUUUGAUGUUCUAACGUGGACCCGUGAUCCGGGUUGCGGACAGUGUCUGGUGGGUAGUUUGACUGGGGCGGUCUCCUCCUAAAGAGUAACGGAGGAGCACGAAGGUUGGCUAAUCCUGGUCGGACAUCAGGAGGUUAGUGCAAUGGCAUAAGCCAGCUUGACUGCGAGCGUGACGGCGCGAGCAGGUGCGAAAGCAGGUCAUAGUGAUCCGGUGGUUCUGAAUGGAAGGGCCAUCGCUCAACGGAUAAAAGGUACUCCGGGGAUAACAGGCUGAUACCGCCCAAGAGUUCAUAUCGACGGCGGUGUUUGGCACCUCGAUGUCGGCUCAUCACAUCCUGGGGCUGAAGUAGGUCCCAAGGGUAUGGCUGUUCGCCAUUUAAAGUGGUACGCGAGCUGGGUUUAGAACGUCGUGAGACAGUUCGGUCCCUAUCUGCCGUGGGCGCUGGAGAACUGAGGGGGGCUGCUCCUAGUACGAGAGGACCGGAGUGGACGCAUCACUGGUGUUCGGGUUGUCAUGCCAAUGGCACUGCCCGGUAGCUAAAUGCGGAAGAGAUAAGUGCUGAAAGCAUCUAAGCACGAAACUUGCCCCGAGAUGAGUUCUCCCUGAGACUUAGAGUCUCCUGAAGGAACGUUGAA
rnacentral:rRNA from 1 species